rnacentral:lncRNA from 1 species
GUGAUCUGGCACCUUAACUUUUUGGUAGUGUGGAGGUCUAGAAAAUUAUAGGUUGCACCAGUAUCUAUGAGGAUGUGUAAGGAUUUUUGAGCAUGAUACCUUGUGCUUCUGAGGGUCCAAAGGAAACUUCCCCCUUGUAAUGCAUGCAUUGAGAUUACAGGUUCUGUAACAUCUUUUCCUUCUACUUGUUCUUCUUCCACCACUGGUUCCU